rnacentral:rRNA from 1 species
UGGGGAAUUUUGGACAAUGGGCGAAAGCCUGAUCCAGCAAUGCCGCGUGUGUGAAGAAGGCCUUCGGGUUGUAAAGCACUUUUGUCCGGAAAGAAAUCCUUGGCUCUAAUACAGUCGGGGGAUGACGGUACCGGAAGAAUAAGCACCGGCUAACUACGUGCCAGCAGCCGCGGUAAUACGUAGGGUGCAAGCGUUAAUCGGAAUUACUGGGCGUAAAGCGUGCGCAGGCGGUUUGCUAAGACCGAUGUGAAAUCCCGGGCUCAACCUGGGAACUGCAUUGGUGACUGGCAGGCUAGAGUAUGGCAGAGGGGGGUAGAAUUCCACGUGUGAGCAGUGAAAUGCGUAGAGAUGUGGAGGAAUACCGAUGGCGAAGGCAGCCCCCUGGGCCAAUACUGACGCUCAUGCACGAAAGCGUGGGGAGCAAACAGGAUUAGAUACCCUGGUAGUCCACGCCCUAAACGAUGUCAACUAGUUG